CCCCCCCCCCCCCCCCAGAUUUUGGAGACCUCCCCAAAAAAAAUUCCCUCCCGAAAACACCUCGGAGGUGCCACAGAAAAAUCCUUGGAAAUCCCCUCAGAGGAACGUGGUUGUCCCCAAAUGUCCCCAAAUGUCCCAAAUUGUCCCCAAAUGUCCCCAAAUGUCCCCAAUUGUCCCCAAAUGUCCCCAAUUGUCCCCAGUCGUUCUCCUUUGUCUCUGAUUGUCCCCAGUGGUCCCCAACUGUCCCCGAUUGACCCUGAUUGGCCUCAAUUGGCGCUAAUUGUCCCCAACUGUCCCCAAUUGUCCCCAACUGUCCUCAAUUGUCGCCGAUUGUCGCCGAUUGUCCCCGAUUGACCUCAAUUGGCACAAAUUGACUCCCAUUGUCCCCAUUGUCCCCCAUGUCCCCCAUUGUCCCCCAUUGUCCCCCAUUGUCCCCCAUUGUCCCCCAUUGUCCCCCAUUGUCCCCCAUUGUCCCCCAUUGUCCCCCAUUGUCCCCCAUUGUCCCCCAUUGUCCCCCAUUGUCCCCAGUUGUCCCCAGUUUGUCUCUGGUUGAUCCCAGCUGUCCCCAAUUGUCCCCAGUUGUCCCCCAUUGUCCCCAGUUGUCCCCAACUGUCCCCAGUUGUCCCCCACUGAGGGGGGUCGGGAAUGUCGCGACGGAUCCUACAGCGAUCGGGAUGGAUCGCCUGGCUGCGGGGACACUUUUGGGGACACAGCUCCCAGACAAGGCGACACUUUUGGGGACACAGAUCCUGUCCGAGGUGACGCUUUUGGGGACACUUUUCGGGAGACUGUUGGGGACACAGUGUCUGGCCAAGGCGACACUUUUGGGGACACUUUUGGGGGCACAGCUCCCGCCUGAGGCCACACUUUUGGGGACAAUUUUGGGGACACUUUUGGCGACACUUCUGGGGGCACUUUCAGGGACACAGCUGCUGCCCGAGGUGACACUUUCGGGGACACUUUCGGGGACACUUUCGGGGACACUUUCGGGGCCCCAGCGCUGUCCCCCGGCUCCCCCCGCCCCCUGCCAGCCCCGAGUGUCCCCCCCCCCCCCCCCCCCCCCCCCCCCCCCCCCCCCCCCCCCCCCCCCCCCCCCCCCCCCCCCCC
rnacentral:lncRNA from 12 species